rnacentral:lncRNA from 12 species
UGACCCUACCGCUCUUUGAUUUCACUUUAAUCCUGACAUCUCACAUUUGUAUCUCCCUUGACCCACCUCAUUUUGUCACCAACAACCCACAUAUGUAAGCUAAGGGCUGGGACCUUGUUUGUUCUGUUCACUUCUGUUUUCAGUGCUUUGUAUAGCACCUGGCACACAGUAGACACUCUGGUUGGUUCAAGUAAAGGGAUAUUUUUGUACUGAUAUAAUGAUCUCACGGGAGUUCAAGUUCAGGGCCGGCUGGGCUUCAUGGAGAUGAAACUCCGUAACUAAGGAACCGAGGAAGUCCUGGGGAACAUUCCCUAUCUCUCUCAGCAUGGCUAUGCCUCUCUGUGCAUUUGCUAUUUUCUCUCAUUCUGCUCAUAGGUGCCUCAUAACAUUUCUUUGCACACGAUCCUGAAUAUUUCCACAAGUCUGCCUCGUAACUUGGAAGUUUGCCACAAAUGUUGCUCUGUUGUCUCUGUCUCACAGGCCUCCAUCCCUAAGAGAAGAAUCUGAUUGGCUGAGCCCCUCUGCUGCAAUUGUAGGUGAGAAAACGACUACGAUGAAAGAGAGAAAAGAGGACGAGGGAGAGAGAAUAAAGAAUCAAUGGUGCCUCCAUGUGAAUGAGACAUUUUGGAGCAGAGAACUGAGAAAACAGACACAAAGAAAAGAGGAGUUUCUGAUUUCUGCUUUUGAGAAUUUACAGUGUUAUUCCCAUUUGGGAAAUCAGAAUGAAGCAUCUUCACAUGAUGGAGAACCAGGUGUGAGGCACAAUUAGUACAUGAAAUGAAGUAUGGGAGAGGACCCAUCAGAGUCAGGAGGUCUGUUUCAGUGAGUUAUGAGGCAGUGGUGCAUCAUCUCCUCUAGGCCUUCAUUUGUUCAUCUGUGAAUGGCAAUGACAUUACCCAAUGUUGCUGACUGCAUGGUUGUGGAGUGGUAAAUGCGAGAACAAACUCUUUGAGGUGUGAAGAUGAUGCACAAUAAGGUGAGUAUCAUAUUCAUAAAAGGCUGUGAUACGUGUGAACAAUAUCUCCAUUUAAUGUCUCCUAACAAGGGUGCCUGAGUGGCUCAGUCAGUUGAGCAUCUGACUCUUGUUUUUGGCUCAGGGUCAUGAUCUUGAGGUUAUGGGGCUGAGCCCUGUGUCAGGCUCCCUGCUCAGUGGGCAGUCAGCUUCUUCCCCUCUCUGUCUGCCUCUCCCC